GGACAUUUGGACCACAGGAUGGUCAGUGUGGAGUGGGAGUUCCAGAUUCUUGCCUGCGUAUCAUUCCCCUCUGCGCUGUGAUUGGACUUGUGUGUGCGAGUGUAAUCUUCCUGGGGAAGAUGGUCUGGAGAACAUCACAGAGAUGACUAUAGCAACAGCUCCUCUCAAGAUUGAAUGUGGAGGAGGCUGCAGUCAGGCAUGACACUCAGCACAAACAAGUCAGAGCUCACAAUCUCUGCUGGAUGCUCCCGCUGAGGCUCUUUGGAACACAUAUUUUCUUCUUUCACUUCAACUUUGUUGAUGUGGGCUGCUCUGCUGACUCCAGGCUCCAGUUCUAAAAUUUUUUGAAGAAACAAAAACAUGCUGCAUGUAGUGCACAUUAUGUUCAGGUUAAAACUCUUUAAGAGACUAGAAAUAUGCAAAUAAUACAAAAUAGUGCUAAAGAAUCCUGUGUAGAGAUAUUCAUAGGAUGCUAAUUUGCUUUCAAACUUGAAAGCCAGAAGACUUCUGCAAAGUUUUUUGGCUAUGUUUUAUAAUGUGAAACAUGUUUAAUGCUAGCGUAGUUUGGUUACCAUCAACACAUGCAAAGUUCAUUUAAAAAUUCUGUUGAAAAUUAUAGCUGGAUUAAAUGAAAACCUGGAGGAAAUUUUCAGGCUUAAAUCACAGACCAAGUAAUGAGAAGAAAUAACACCUGUAUUUUUCAAUAGCAUGUGUUGUAUCAAGAUAGUGACUAAGCUAGUAUAUUUAUCAAUCAGUUCAGUAAUACAUAUAAGCCACUUUUUGCAAAGAUUAUGAAUCUUUUCAUACAUUUAUGUGUUAUUUCAUAAUUUGCAUUAAGUGAUGAAUAACAUACUACAAAAAACUUCUUUCGGCUACUCCCUUUAGGGGUCGCCACAGCGGAUCAUCUGCCUCCAUCUUGCCCUAUCCACUUCCUCCUCUACUUUCACAC